UAUGUAAAUUGACUAAGGUAAAGACGUAAUGUUAUUGUUGGAUCAGCUGUUGUUGUUCGUUAAGUUUGCUAGCCGAUGAUUUUCAUUUGUAUUCAUGAAAUGUUCCGUAGUGAAAGUGUGUAGGUGAGCGCGUAUUCACUGUUUAGAAAUGCUUAUGAGUCUGCAAGAUGGGCGAGGACUGGCUGAGUAGUUUAAUAAUUUACUACGACAACCUGUCAAAUUAUUAUAUAUUUUGUGUUAUUGUGUCUUUGGGUGCUGUGAUGAUGGCGUGGUGGGUUACAAUAUUCAAUUUCAAGACUACUAUUAAUGAAAAUACUAACGUGCCGGAAGCAGAUAUAGUCGAUGAAGAAGAUGGCUGCGAUGCACAGGAUGGAAGCUUGCUCGCGAAACUGAAGGUCGCACGCCAGGAAGCGAUAGUGCAGUGCUUGUCUGCCAGCCUGACGGAAGAGCAGCUCGAGGAAGAGCGAGAGACCGAAAAGCAACAGCUGAAAGCAAUAUUCGAGCUACUCCAAAAGCAGGGUGAGAAAUUUCAGGUUGGCUCCAUGGAGGAGCUAGAAGACCAACUUCGUCUCUACCGGAGAUAGCAGCGCCAUCUUCCCUCUGCACGUGUGUCCAGUCUUCUUUAGGCUGGGUCGAGUCUGCGGGAACUCGAGUGUACAUUCUGUAUAGAAUGAUAUGUACACUCCUUGUGGGCACCUCAGAAGCCCUCAAAAGGAAGCAUGUCCCAGCCAGACGUAAAAUUCAGUGAAUGUGCACUUCAACAUUGAGAGUUGUGCAGAAGGCUGGGCUUAAUCGUGUACUAUUCUGAACAAAGUUAUUGUCCCUCCUUAAACUUUCUUACAUAGUGCUGGUUCCAUACAUAAAAUGUAUAAAGGUAUCCAUAUGGGUGCGAUAAGCUUACGGCUACAGGCUUCCUAGGAAAGUUUAAGGUUCAGCAGGUAAGCUUGAGGCUCAGUCUCACAAUCCAUGAUGAUUUUUUUUUUAAUUUUUUCAUUAUAUCUUUUAUUGAAAUACUAUUUAUAAAAUUUUAACUCCAUACCUGCCUUCGCAUUGGUGGUUUUGUCACAAAUAUUUUCAACAGAUAUUCGCUUAGUGUAAAAUGUAAGAAGUCGCGCAAGUCUCUGUAAUCAUUAUUAGUUGUGCGACUUCUACACCCAGGAUAACACUUAAGUGAAUACAUAUAUUUAGGAAAUAUUUGUGGCAUAACAAAAUAUAAAAGGGAGGCAUCAAGUUAAAAUUGAAGAAAUUACAAUCAGGGCUCGAUUUUAGCGCCUGUCCGCCUGCCCGGGACAGGCAAAAUCUCGUCCGGGCAGGCAAAAUAAAAAAGGCAACUGUCCGGUGGACAGGUGCAACUUGUGACGCCGAGGUUAUUCGCACGCACUAAUGCAGCAGAGGUGAUUAAUAACAUUUAUGCGACCACAACCGCAAAUAAAACGUCUUUUACAAUAUCUAUAAAUAAACAAUAAUGGCUGCUCUUUUGUGACAGACGACUCUGGCUAUUGUAUACCGCGGGAAAAAAAAGUAGGUUAUGUACAAGCCGUGCUGAAAUCUUCUGAAUCAUAAUCUGAAUUAUAAUUCUUAAAAUCUUGCGUAACGUCAUGAUUCACGUAACAUAUUCGUAUUCGUAUGCUAGAGAUGCAAAACAUCUCACACCGAUGAUGUUUGUUUUUGUUGCCAUGUUUUAAUAUUAAUUUCGUUGCAGUGCAGCUAACAAUUACGUAAUUUACCGUUGUAUACUUUCAAAAUAUAUUUUUUUAAAUUUAUUGUCUUUAUAAAUCGCGACUUUACUAAUUCCUUGCUCUACUUUAACAUAGUUUGUUAACAGAAAAGCGUUUUCGCGUGGUUAACAUUUCACGGCGUACUCCAGAUACAGCUGACAGUGGCCGCAGUGACUACGACUGCUUGAAAAUUCGCCUGUCAACUGUUGCAUCAAAAAAUAAACAUUACUUGUUUACAGAGGACACGGUAAUCUUUUACAGUUUAUCUUGUCACGGCGUAAAAUCAUCUGGAUCAGUUUUUGUUACGGGCUGCUAAAGCCUGUAAAGACUGAAGUCUAUAAAGACAGACUGGCGAAACUGUUUAAAUGAUGAUAUACUGUCUGCCCUCAUGCGUGUUCAAUUACAGUCACCUUUUGAAAGUGAGUUUGAUCCAGCACCAGCAAUAAAUCUCUGGUAUCAUAAUGUUCAGAGAAAACGUCGACCCUUUCAACCUCCUUAUCGAAGAUUUUCAAGAGAGAAUCAGCAAAGUAAUUCGUGAAGUGACUCGGACAGAGACUCGUCUGAAAAUGAUGAUUAAAUAAGGAUGUUAAGUGUGUGAUAAAAAUAGGUGCAAAAUAUAGCAAAAAUCCUUUUUUCUCACUUUUUCAGAGACUUUGAAAUUUUUUUUAUUUGGGUAAAACAGCGGACAGGCAAAUUGGAUGGCGGACAGGCAAAUUUUCGAUUACACCUGUCCGUUGGGCAGGUUAAAAUAUUCCUUAAAAUUUAGCCCUGAUUACAAUUAAAUUAAAGUAAUAAAAUAUAGUCAACAUUACAUGGGAGACUGGACCUUAAAAACAUAGCAGUUAACAUGUAUUUUUAUCCUGGAUUUUAGUCUAUGAUUUCAUUCUAGUGUUAAAUAACAACAAUAAGUUAAAUAAAAAAAAGUAGAUUAAACUGUUUUUUGUUCAUGAAGUGAGACUGCUGCAGAUGGCGCAGACAACAUUUUAGAUGAUACACGUGGAUAACAGUUUUAGCUUGAAACUUGUCCUGAUCAUGCUGUAGAUAGAGCCCUUAGGUUGCUUUAGUGUAAAUUAUACAUAGUCAACAAGCUUCAUACAGUGAAACUUCUCUUUGAUGGACACUUGUGAAAAAGUAACACACUUAAAUCACCCAGUGGUUCUCACAGGGGAAUAACUUCCUAAUACAGUCGGCACUCAAUGAUUCAACAUCUCUCGUCUCGGCACAGAGUUGCUCGCGUUCAGACUUUUUCAGGUGGAUUGGAUGGUCGACGCUCUCGAUGAAAAGUUAGUUAAGAGACUUAUCAAACAGUAAUGUUCAUGUGUAUAUUUUAUGUCAUAACACUGUAUGUAAAUUUUUCUUUGGUAAUCCUAAAUCUAACUUGAUGUUUGAUAAUCUCGCAAAAUUUGCUAACCUGGCAUGGCGUUAGUCCUGAACGUGCUUUUACCAUACUGUACAUUUUAAAAUGUACAUGUGGACACCUAUUUGAGGUAAUUACAUGUACAUUUUAAAAUGUACAUGUGGACACCUAUUUGAGGUAAUUACAUGUACAUUUUAAAAUGUACAUGUGGACACCUAUUUGAGGUAAUUACUUUAAAAUAAAUGUUAUCAUCAUAUUGGCAUAUAUCGUACAAAAAUUGUGGAUUUCGAAAAUUCAAAAUUGGGUACUCUGAUGACUACUUGUAUUUCUUUUUAUCCUUCCUGUUACUAUUCCCCAAGAUUUUGUACUUUGAAUAUGAAAUUAUGAUGAUAAUAUUGCAAUAUGUAUACAUUGGUGAGACAAACAAACAUGUAAAGGGUUGGAUGUUUCAAGAUUAUUGUUAAUAUUUUUUUUCUUGCACAUUAUUUUAUUUUGACCUUUGGAGACCUAGAUUACAAUUUGAAGGAUAGAGUCAAGGUACUCUUUGUGAUUCUAAUUAGAGAUUUGGAUCAGAGAAAAUUGGGAUCUGACUCAUCAGUCACUAGUAAAAUUGAGAAAUUUUUGGAAGAUCUAGGAUUCUAAUUUUGAACUUUUUUGUAAUGUUUAUGCAACAUCAGAUUUAAAAAAUUUAUCGUGGUUAUUUCGCAUUUGCGAAUUUUCCGGGACUCUACUUAUGACCUCAGUGUCAAUAAGACAAACUAAUUGAUAACGAGAGAGUAAAUAUUUUAUGUGAGGAGACAAGACUACCUGCAAGGCACAAAUCACAUGUGGUUUAUGUAUUACGCAUUACUAAAUUUUGGAAUAGUCUGUGAAGUGUACUAAAAAAAUGGUUGUUUAUGGAGAGUGCCACUGUAUGUAGAUGAUUAAAAUCGUGUCUCCAUUCUACACUCUUAUCAGUUAUCAUUUAUUCUUUAACUUACGUUACAGCAAUGCAUUUCAUGACAACAUUUUUUACAACUAGUACCGAGAGCUGUGUUCAUAAGUAACUUCUUGCAUGGUCAGGCAUCUCCAGGGAAUGUGUUAGACACAUAGGUCAUUUCUACACAGAAAUAACACUGGGGGAAAAUAAGUUAAUCCCCGUUCUUUAGUAGUGUUGACUUAAUUUUUUAUGUUUUCACUGCAAUGUACUGUAUUGCCACAUAGUAGUAUUUUAUAUAUUUUUUUAGUUAUGUUUUGCUGUAAUUAAAAAUAGAAAAGUAAUUUUUUGUUAUGGAAUUUAGAAUGUAACAAGCGGUAGUUACAGCUGCCAGGGUGGUGUUUUAUGAUGUAAUUUGUUAUUAAACAAUAUUUAUAUUGCUGUU